UGCAGUCGAACGAAGUAGCAAUACUUAGUGGCAGACGGGCGAGUAACAUGUAGGUAUCUUCCCUUUGGUGAGGAAUAACACGAGGAAACUUGUGCUAAUACCUCAUAAGUCUUUACGGAGAAAGCUUUAUGCGCCGAUGGAUGAGCCUGCACUUGAUUAGUUUGUUGGUAGGGUAAUGGCCUACCAAGACAAUGAUCAAUAGCUGAUUUGAGAGGAUGAUCAGCCACAUUGGGACUGAGACACGGCCCAAACUCCUACGGGAGGCAGCAGUAGGGAAUCUUGCACAAUGGGGGAAACCCUGAUGCAGCGAUGCCGCGUGAGUGAAGAAGGCCUUUGGGUUGUAAAGCUCUUUCGUCGGGGAAGAAAAUGACUGUACCCGAAUAAGAAGGUCCGGCUAACUUCGUGCCAGCAGCCGCGGUAAUACGAAGGGACCUAGCGUAGUUCGGAAUUACUGGGCUUAAAGAGUUCGUAGGUGGUUAAAAAAGUUGGUGGUGAAAUCCCAGAGCUUAACUCUGGAACUGCCAUCAAAACUUUUUAGCUAGAGUAUGAUAGAGGAAAGCAGANUUUCUAGUGUAGAGGUGAAAUUCGUAGAUAUUAGAAAGAAUACCAAUUGCGAAGGCAGCUUUCUGGAUCAUUACUGACACUGAGGAACGAAAGCAUGGGUAGCGAANANGAUUAGAUACCCUCGUAGUCCAUGCCGUAAACGAUGUGUGUUAGACGUUGGAAAUUUAUUUUCUGUGUCGCAGCGAAAGCAAUAAACACACCGCCNGGGGAGUACGANCGCANGGUUAAAACUCAAAUGAAUUGANNGGGACCCGCACANGUAG
rnacentral:rRNA from 1 species